rnacentral:rRNA from 1 species
GACGAACCGAGCGAACGUUGUUCGGAAUCACUGGGCUUAAAGGGCGCGUAGGCGGGCUGCCGCGUCCGGGGUGAAAUCCCACCGCUCAACGGUGGAACGGCUGGGCAUACUGGCGACCUUGAGGGACCCAGGGGCGAGCGGAACAAGCGGUGGAGCGGUGAAAUGCGUAGAUAUCGCUUGGAACGCCGACGGUGAAAACAGCUCGCUGGGGGUCACCUGACGCUGAGACACGAAAGCCAGGGGAGCGAACGGG